CAGCCGCCGCGGUAACACCAGCCCCUCGAGUGGUGGGGACUAUUAUUUGGCCUAAAGCGUCCGUAGCCGGCUGCAGCCGUCACCCGUUAAAUCCAGCGUCUCAAGCGUUGGACUGCGGGUGAUACCCUGCAGCUUGAGGGUGGGACAGGUUAGCGGUAUUCCCGGGGUAGGGGCGAAAUCCUUUGAUCCCGGGAGGACCACCAGUGGCGAAGGCUGCUGACUAGAACACGCCUGACGGUCAGGGACGAAAGCUGGGGUAGCGAACCGGAUUAGGUACCCGGGUAGUCCCAGCUGUAAACGAUGCACGCUAGGUGUUGGGUCGGCCACGCGCCGCCCCAGUGCCGCAGGGAAGCCGUUAAGCGUGCCGCCUGGGGAGUACGGCCGCAAGGCUGAAACUUAAAGGAAUUGGCGGGGGAGCAC
rnacentral:rRNA from 1 species